rnacentral:rRNA from 1 species
AUAGAACCGAACCAGGGUGAUCUAAUCGUGACCAGGACGAAGCUUUAGUAAUUUGAAGUGGAGGUCCGAACCCACCAAUGUUGAAAAAUUGGGGGAUGAGUUGCGAUUAGGGGAGAAAUUCUAGUCGAACUCGGAGCUAGCUGGUUCUCUCCGAAAUGCGUUGAGGCGCAGCAAUUUUUCAUUAUACUAGGGGUAAAGCACUGUUUCGAUGCGGGCUGCGAAAGUGGUACUAAAUUGUUGCAAACUUAGAAUACUAGUAUUUAUUUGAUUAGUGAGACAGUGGGGGAUAAGCUCCAUUGUCAAGAGGGAAACAGCCCAGAUUACUAGUUAAGGCCCCUAAAUGUCUACUAAGUGAUAAAGGUUGUUUUAAUACAAAGACAACCAGGAGGUUGGCUUAGAAGCAGUCAUUCCUUUAAAAAGUGCGUAAUAGCUUACUGGUUAAGUGUCAAUGCGCCGAAAAUGAAUGGGGCUAAGUAGAUUGCCGAAACUGUAAGAUUUUUAAUCGGUAGGAGAGCGUUCUAUUUUGGGUGAAGGGAAAGCGUAAGUUUUUAUGGACAAUAUAGAAGUGAGAAUGUCGGCUUAAGUAACGAAAACAUGGGUGGAAAUCCUUUGUCCCGUAAGCCUAAGGUUUCCUCUGCAAGGUUCGUCCACAGAGGGUUAGUCAGGUCUAAGAUGAAAUUGAAAAAUUUAAUCGACGAUAUACAGGUUAAUAUUCCUGUACCUUACUUUAUUUUACUAAGAAGUACAAAGUUGAAUUUUUCAUCCAAAUAUUGGUUUAUUUUGGUUCAAUAAUUUGAUGCGUUGAAAUAUAUUAUAAAAAAUAUAUGAGCUUAAAAUUAUAGCAUAAUGGUAUGCCACGGCAUUCUAAAUUGAAUAAUUUUAUACUUUCGAGAAAAGUUCUUGUAGUGUGUAAUAAUUUUAAGUCUGUACCGCAAACUGACACAGGUGGGCUAAUUGAGUAUAUUAAGGGACGCGAGAUAACACUAUUCUAAGGAACUCGGCAAAUUGGCUCUGUAACUUCGGGAGAAAGAGCGCCUCAUUGUUUGAGGCCGCAGUGAAAUGGCCCAUCUGACUGUUUAUCAAAAACACAUGUCUCUGCUAAGUUGUAAAACGAUGUAUAGGGGCUGACACCUGCCCAGUGCCAGAAGGUUAAAGAAACUUGUUAAAUUUAUAUUGAAGCUUGAGACCUAAGCCCUGGUGAACGGCGGCGAUAACAAUAAUCGUCCUAAGGUAGCAAAAUUCCUUGUCAGGUAAGUUCUGACCCGCACGAAAGGUGUAACAAGAUGGGCGCUGUCUCAGAAAGUGACUCGGUGAAAUAGAAUUGACUGUGAAGAUGCGGUCUAGUUACACUUGGACAGAAAGACCCUAUGAAGCUUUACUGUUAGUUGAAAUUGAUCUUGAAUUUUUAUUGCGCAGAAUAGGUGGGAGACUGUGAUCAUCUUUUUCGGAAGUUUGGGAGUCGCAAUAUGAGAUACCACUCUUUAAAAAUUUGGGCUCUAAUGGUAAUUAAUAGUUUACUUGAAAGUUUCAACGUGACAGUUUUACUGGGGCGGUAGCCUCCCAAAAAGUAACGGAGGCGUACAAAGGCUUUUUCAAUUUGUGUGGAAAUCAUAUUUAGAGCGUAAGGGUAUAAGAAAGCUUGACUGUAAGACGUACAUGUCAAACAGGGAUUAACGUCUGUCCUAAUGAUCCGGCGAUAUCUUGUGGGAGAGUCGCCGCUAACGGAUAAAAGUUACUCUAGGGAUAACAGGCUGAUCUCGCCCAAGAGUUCACAUCGACGGCGAGGUUUGGCACCUGAUGUCGGCUCAUCGCAUCCUGGGGCAGUAGUAUGUUCCAAGGGUUGGGCUGUUCGCCCAUUAAAGCGG